UACGUAGGCAGCAAGCGUUGUUCGGAGUUACUGGGCGUAAAGCGUGUGUAGGCGGAUUGCUAAGUACCUUGUGAAAUCCCACGGCUCAACCGUGGAACUGCUUGGUAUACUGGUUAUCUUGAGCCACUUAGGGGCGAGCGGAACAAAUGGUGGAGCGGUGAAAUGCGCAGAUAUCAUUUGGAACACCAAUGGUGAAAACAGCUCGCUGGGAGUGUGCUGACGCUGAGACACGAAAGCCAGGGGAGCGAACGGG
rnacentral:rRNA from 1 species